GACAAACGCUGGCGGCGUGUAUUAGGCAUGCAAGUCGCACGGGCACUUCGGUGUCAGUGGCGGACGGGUGAGUAACACGUGGGUAACCUGCCCUUCGUUGGGGGACAACCGGGGGAAACCCCGGCUAAUACCCCGUAAGCUUGUCGGGUCGCAUGGCCUGACAAGGAGAGGUAGCUUCGGCCAUCCGGCGAAGGAGGAGCCCGCGGUACAUUAGCUAGUUGGUGAGGUAAAGGCCCACCAAGGCGACGAUGUAUAGCUGGUCUGAGAGGAUGAUCAGCCACACUGGGACUGAGACACGGCCCAGACUCCUACGGGAGGCAGCAGUCGGGAAUCGUGCACAAUGGGCGAAAGCCUGAUGCAGCAACGCCGUGUGAGCGACGAAGGCCCUAGGGUCGUAAAGCUCUGUUGUUAGGGACGAAGGGCGAAGGGUUAAUAGCCCUUAGCCUGACGGUACCUUUCGAGGAAGCCCCGGCUAACUACGUGCCAGCCGCCGCCGUAACAC
rnacentral:rRNA from 1 species